CCUUCGGGUGGCUGCAGUGAGGAAUAUUGGUCAAUGGACGAGAGUCUGAACCAGCCAAGUAGCGUGAAGGAUGACUGCCCUAUGGGUUGUAAACUUCUUUUAUAUGGGAAUAAAACGUUCCACGUGUGGGAUUUUGUAUGUACCAUAUGAAUAAGGAUCGGCUAACUCCGUGACAGCAGCCGCGGUAAUACGGAGGAUCCGGGCGUUAUCCGGAUUUAUUGGGUUAAAAGGGAGCGUAGGUGGAUUGUUAAGGCAGUUGUGAAAGUUUGCGGCGCAAACGUAAAAUUGCAGUUGAAACUGGCAGUCUUGAGUACAGUAGAGGUGGGCGGAAUUCGUGGUGUAGCGGUGAAAUGCUUAGAUAUCACGAAGAACUCCGAUUGCGAAGGCAGUUCACUGGACUGCAACUGACACUGAGGCUCGAAAGUGUGGGUAUCAAACAGGAUUAGAUACCCAGUAGUC
rnacentral:rRNA from 1 species